CUCUUCACCUUCGUCAAAAAAAUCCCUGCCGCCUUUCCUCUCUUCGCCUUUGCCAAAAAAAUCCCCGUCCCUUUGCCCCUUUGUCUUCGUGGUCGCGGUCCGCUCCCCCCCACCCCUCUUCGAGCUUUAUCAAAGGCGGCCCCCUCUUUGAGCACCAUCAGCGACAAGGGCGCUGCCCCUCCCCUUUCGAGCAUCAUCAGCGGUAGAGGCUCCGUCCCCUCCCUCUCUUCAAGCCCUAUCAACAGAGGCACCCCCUCUUUGAGCACCAUUAGCGACAAAGGCACUGCCCCUCCCCCUUCGAGCACCAUCAACGGUAGAGGCUCCGUCCCCUCCCUCUCUUCGAGCCCUAUCAGUAGAGGCACCCCCCUCUCCAAGCACCAUCUCCCUCCCUCCCUCUCUUCAAGCACCAUCAACGGCAGAGGUGCCAUGCCCUCCCCUUCGAGCACCAUUAGCAUUAGAGGUACCUCCACCCUCUUCGAGCCCUAUCAGCAACCCUUCUUCGAGGCCCAUCAACAAAGGUGCCCAUCAGCGGCAGAAGCCCUCCCUUUGAGCCCUAUCUCAGUAGAGGCGCCCUAGCACCAUCUACGAAGGGGAUGGAACGAGGCAUGGUAAUUUUUCUAGCCCGAUAAUAGUCAGAUGACAUCUUGGCAUUGAGGGAACCCUCAGCCGUUUCGAUUUUCCCUUCUUCGAAUCAAGCCACCAUGGCGGCGGAGGACAGCUCGUCGACGGGAAUAGUUAGUGAUCCUUGUGUUUGUCUUCUUAUCUUUGGAUCCAUUGUGCUAGUACCCAGUUGAUCCUUGUGAUUGGUAUAUUUCUGAUCCUUAGCUCAAGGUGGAUGAGGAAGAGUUAUUUAGUGUCGAAUCCUGCUGGGUUGAGGCUCGAACGACCUGCGACCACCUGUCAUUGUUGUGCUACCACUUAUCCUAAAUUCCUCUUUCGGUUCCUCUUGCUCUAGGUUUGCCUCUUCAUCAACUUAUGAAUAUCUGAAUAUCUAAUUCAAGUUUCUUUUUUUUGACAGCAAAUCAUCAUACUAUGAUUCCAUGUAUCUGGAGAUCAAGACAAAUCAAGGUGUCAUCACCCUGCUGAAAACUGGUUGUGUUUUAGCUGCAAAGAUAUUUUCUGCAAUCGUUUUAUCAAUAAGCACAUGGUGAACCAUCACCAAGAAAUUGGGCACUGCCUUGCUUUGAGUUUCAGCUAAUAGAGGAAUUGACAAAGUUGGACGAGAAGCUUAAGCUCACUGAAUCACUAUUGGAAAGUGAUCUUGUCCGAGAGUUGAGUCGACGGACGCUGGGGAGAUGGCACUCACGUUGUCUGGAUGUAGACUGAGGAUGACAUGGACCUCCAACGAGCUAAACCUGCAACAACAAGUCGUUAAUGCCGAGCCAGGGAGGGGUUCCCCGGUGAUGGCCCUCUGACGACAAAUGGAUGAAGUAGAGAAUAGAAAAGAGCAGCAGUGUAACUGUGGCUACCGUAGUCAUGGACAUCCUUCCGUCGAAGUCUGGGGGUCCUUAUAUAGGGCCCUGAGGGGCACUUGCAUGCUUCCCGAGGCGUGCAUACUUCUCAAAGCAUACCUGGAAAGGAUGUGUCAAGAAAGCGUGCAUGACAUCAUACCUUAAUAGCUUGAGCAUAUCCCUGACGUGACAAUGGAAGCUUCCACCGUACGAUUCUCUGUCUGACCAUGCCACCAACCAUGCCGCAUGUUGACGACACUGGUUCCGAGGAAGAUAUCCCCAGCUGCACCUUUUGUCCGUUAUUGGGUCGAGCGGAGAGUCGCUCGGCCAGUCUGUCGUCCGGGUGAUACCAUGGCUGGGCUGAGCAUUCGCUCGGCCCAUGAUCUACUGGCCGGCUUCGUCCUGUCGAGCAAGGGAAUCCUGCCUGCCUGGUCGAGGCCGCAUCCACCAUUUAACCGAACGAGACGGCCGCUCGGCCUUCGUCCUUCCCCGCUUGAGCUUUAUGAGCGUCGGAAGCUCGGUACUUGGCCGAGCUGUCGAAGUGUCAGAUCGGCUACUCCUUAUGCCGACCGAGAGGGUGACUCACCCGAUCGGACGAAUGCCCGGGACGUUGACCACUUUAACUAUAACCCUCCACGUGGCGAUGACCUUCUAUAAGGCGGGCCCCACCUUUACCACCGGAUCACAAGAAUCUUGAAAUUAAGAAGAUAAAUGAUGAGAAGAAAGUAGCCUUGGCUGCUCAAUUUGCAGCAGAGGCAACACUUCGAAGAGUUUAUGCAGCUCAAAAAGAUGAUGACACACCUCCAAUUGAAGCCAUUCUGGCACCUCUUGAGGCAGAGUUGAAGUUAGCACUGCAAGAGAUUGCAAAGCUACAGGAUGAUAACGAGGCUUUAGAUCGACUUACUAAAUCAAAGGAAGUAGCACUAUCUUAUGCAAUGCGUUUUUAGUGAUGCAGAACCUUGGGCUUGCUCAUGAAGGCAAAGGCUAACUUCUAUUUAGGAAGACUAGAUCAAGCAUUUGAAUUGCUGAAGAAGCUUGAACAAGGGAAAAGUAUAGUUGACAAAUAAGACCAUCAACAACAUACAUUUGCACGAUGAGGAUUAUUAUCCGUAGCGCGCACUGCACGUUACGAAAAAUAUUAUCCGUAGCGCGCAAUGCGCGUCGCAAUGCACAACGCGCGUCGCAACGCACAAUGCACGCUGCAGAAAGUAGAUUUGCAAGUUACAAAAAGUCAUUUUUGUUGUAGUGUCUCCUCGAUUCGUAUGACCACGAGAAACAAGAAGUUCUUCAGCGGCAUCGUGAAGCGCUUCCUUGGAGAUCAGCACCACAAAGGAGGAGGAGGUCUUGAUAGCUAUCGCAACGACGAAGCAAAGGGUGUUCUGGUACGAGACGCAAAUGGCGACCACCAGGAACUUCAUCCCCAAGCACAAGAUUGGUGAAGGAGGAUUCGACCCAGUCUAUAAGAAGCAAGGGCGGCUCAAGGACAAGCGGGAGGUGGCAGUGAAGUGGCUGGGGCAGGGGUCACGAUAGGGCACAAGGGAGUUCGAGAAUGAGGCAUUGCUGCUGUCACGGGUGCAGCACAAGAACAUGGUGAACCUCUACAACUAUUGUGCCCAUGGCGACGACAAGCUGCUCAUCUAUGAGUAUACCCCUAAUGAGAGCCUCGACAAACUCCUCUUCUCCCCUUUAAAUUGAAGUGGUUUUGUUGCUGAUGCAAUUGAGCAGGAGAAGAGGGGGUUGAUCAGAGGAAGAGGAAGGCGGAGCUAGACUAGGUGCGGCGGUGCAAGGUAAUCCUUGGGGGUGGUGCUAGGGCUGCUCUACUUCCACGAGUUAGUGCACACCACCACCAUCCACCGUGACAUCAAGGCCAACAACAUCCUAUUGAUGGUCGGUGGACACCCAAGAUCGUACAUUUUGGCAUUGCGCAUCUGUUCCCGAAGGACUAGAUCCACGCCCACACCUGUGUUGCCGACAACAAUGACUACAUGACCCCUGAGUACAUCAUGCAUGGCGUCCUCUCCAUCAAGGUUGAUGUUUUCAGAUUCGACUGCUCCUCCUCGAGCUCGUCGCAAGCUGUAAGAACUCCGCCUUCUCCUCCCUCCCCGACCCAGCGUGAGCAAGAGAGUGAGUUGGGCAUUGAAAAUUGUCACGCUUAUCUCACAUGAGAAUCUCUAUUAGAGAAAACAAAAGAGUUGACGAUGGGGAUAUAUUUAAAAUACUUUAUAAAACAUGAAGGACAUAAA